UACGUAGGGGGCAAGCGUUGUCCGGAUUUAUUGGGCGUAAAGAGCGUGUAGGCGGCCAUACAGGUCAGCUGUGAAAACUCGAGGCUCAACCUCGAGACGUCGGUUGAAACCGUAUGGCUAGAGUCCGGAAGAGGAGAGUGGAAUUCCCGGUGUAGCGGUGAAAUGCGCAGAUAUCGGGAAGAACACCCGUGGCGAAGGCGGCUCUCUGGGCCACUACUGACGCUGAGAAGCGAAAGCAUGGGGGAGCGAACGAGGA
rnacentral:rRNA from 1 species